rnacentral:rRNA from 1 species
UACGGAGGGUGCAAGCGUUAAUCGGAAUUACUGGGCGUAAAGCGUGCGCAGGCGGUUGUGCAAGACCGAUGUGAAAUCCCCGGGCUUAACCUGGGAAUGGCAUUGGUGACUGCACGGCUAGAGUGUGUCAGAGGGGGGUAGAAUUCCACGUGUAGCAGUGAAAUGCGUAGAGAUGUGGAGGAAUACCGAUGGCGAAGGCAGCCCCCUGGGAUAACACUGACGCUCAGGCACGAAAGCGUGGGGAGCAAACAGG